AGUCUCGACCAAUUCUGGGCACAGAAAGACGUGAUUUCUUCGAGAAGCCUUCAAAGGGGACUUUAUUAUGGCCUGGAGGGAUGUGUCCAGAAUUUAGAAUUAGAUGUUGUGAAUGAGACCACAGGUAAAAUGGAGGUGAGUGUUUACAGAUCCCAGUGCAAGCGGGAGAAGAGUUCGCUAACAGUCGUCACGAUUCCAGAUAACAACAUCCAAGACCAACACUGUUCGUGUGCCGCAGGGUAAAAUACAUUUAAUUUACUUUUCAUGAUUUAAACUAAUCUGGAGAGGCCCUGAGUGUUACAGUCACUCAGCUAGUGUGCUAACCUGGGCUAACAUUAUAGCGUUAGCUAGUUUAGCAGAGGCGACAGCUCUGUUACUGUAUCGCUAAUGACGAUUCAAUAACUGUCGGUAAAGUUAGUAGAUUUGAAGCUUACUUGAAAAUAGACCUAGAUACUGUUUUUUAGUAUAUUCACUCAUUUGAAUUUGAUGUAUUCCUCCACCUGUGAGCAUAAUAAAAGGUUUAUCUGAGACCUGAAGACUUCUCAGGUUGUCCUUGAGCAGUCAACUAAAAAACUGAUUCUUACAGGUGGAUCGUUGGUCACACUUUAAGGACUUCCUCCCUCAGAUUUCUUCAGAUCUUCCUCAGACUUUAGAUGAUUCAGAAGACAGUGAUGAUGAAUAUUUGUUCAAGUUUUGUUAUUCUUUCAAACAGCCCUGGAGCUGCUGAGGUUGGAGAAAUGUCCCUCACUGACUGAGUGGGUUUGUACCUGUGACAUCUAUCAAUCAAAACAAAGUCCAGAUCAGUUUUUCAUCUUUAUUCAUCAUUUAAAAAAGGACAAAAUACAGAUUCAAAAUGAAAUAUGAAGAAACCAUUUGAAUUGUCCUCACAGCUGAACUAUUACAGU